rnacentral:lncRNA from 1 species
AGAAAGAUUCUUCCUGGGACUGGAGUCCACUUCUCAACAUUAUUCCCGAGGCUUUCUCUUCUAAUCCAGUGAAUCUCCCUUGGUCCUGCGAGGAUAAGGAACAUCUUUUUUGAGCACAAUCCUGAUGAGAUCUCUCCUCAUCGAACCCCUCCAUUCUUACAGAACUCUGUGGUCCAGCCUCAUGUUGAUCCCAUAAGGAGCUCUGGAGUGUGGAGAGCAUGCUGGAAGCCGGGAAAUCAGACUUUUCUACUCUGAAUCAGCCAGGAACAUUCAGGUGAUGAUUCCCUGCAGGUAG